AUUAAGGUGGCAGAUCAGUGCAAAGGAUUUAAGUUCCUUGAAGAGAAUAUAAUU
rnacentral:tRNA from 1 species